rnacentral:rRNA from 1 species
GAUGAACGCUGGCGGCGUGCCUAAUACAUGCAAGUCGAGCGAACAGACGAGGAGCUUACUCCUCUGACGUUAGCGGCGGACGGGUGAGUAACACGUGGAUAACCUACCUAUAAGACUGGGAUAACUCCGGGAAACCGGAGCUAAUACCGGAUAACAUGUUGAACCGCAUGGUUCAACAGUGAAAGACGGUCUUGCUGUCACUUAUAGAUGGAUCCGCGUCGCAUUAGCUAGUUGGUAAGGUAACGGCUUACCAAGGCAACGAUGCGUAGCCGACCUGAGAGGGUGAUCGGCCACACUGGAACUGAGACACGGUCCAGGCUCCUACGGGAGGCAGCAGUAGGGAAUCUUCCGCAAUGGGCGAAAGCCUGACGGAGCAACGCCGCGUGAGUGAAGAAGGUCUUCGGAUCGUAAAACUCUGUUAUUAGGGAAGAACAAAUGUGUAAGUAACUAUGCACGUCUUGACGGUACCUAAUCAGAAAGCCACGGCUAACUACGUG